AUGUCUUCCAUAGGGUUUAGCUAUGCACAGGUACACGUGAAGCAAGAGAGACCGAGGAGGAAGAUCAGCGACGGCGAGAAGGCCGCGGCAACGACCACGAUGAGCAAAUUCAUGGCUGGCGAAGAAGGGCAGAGGAAGAAGGGCUCUAUGGGUGAAGAGGAGAAGAAGGCAGCUUGCAACUCAUGGACCGCAGGGAGGGUGCAUCCAUUCGCGUCUUCCCCGGCGGCUGCGGCGCCAAAGGGUGGGCACCGAUGA
rnacentral:rRNA from 1 species